UGGGGAAUAUUGGGCAAUGGGGGAAACCCUGACCCAGCAACGCCGCGUGAAGGACGAAGGCCUUCGGGUUGUAAACUUCUUUGAUCAGGGACGAAACAAAUGACGGUACCUGAGGAACAAGCCACGGCUAACUACGUGCCAGCAGCCGCGGUAAUACGUAGGUGGCAAGCGUUAUCCGGAUUUACUGGGUGUAAAGGGCGUGUAGGCGGUCUUGCAAGUCGGAAGUGAAAUUCCCGGGCUUAACCCGGGCGCUGCUCCCGAAACUGCGAGACUUGAGUACUGGAGAGGAUAGUGGAAUUCCUAGUGUAGCGGUAAAAUGCGUAGAUAUUAGGAGGAACACCAGUGGCGAAGGCGGCUAUCUGGACAGUAACUGACGCGGAGGCGCGAAAGCGUGGGGAGCAAACA
rnacentral:rRNA from 1 species